rnacentral:lncRNA from 1 species
CUGAGUUGGGAAGAACAUCUGAACCCAGGAAAUCGAGGCUGCAGUGAGCCACGAUCACACCAUGCCACGGCACUCCAGCCUGGGCAACAGGAUGAGACCUUGUCUCACACACACACACAAAAAGAAAGGGCUGGAAUCUGAGUAGCUGAGGUGCUUAUGUGACUACAUGCCUACAUCACUGACCCCCAAUAAACACCUUGGACACAAGACUCAGAUAAAGAAACCUCAGAUCAAAUAUAAGCAUCAAAAUCUACAAAGAUUUUAGAGGGUGAAGAAACACGGAAAGAUCUCUGGUGAUGGAGCCAGCAUUGAUGAACCAAGAAAAGUCUUAAACGUGAAGAAGCCUGUGAUAAACAAGGUGACUCACCUCAUCAAAUGGAAUAGGGAUCUUCUGGCAAAGCUGCCUGGGUAAACCGCAACUCACAAGGGAUAGAAUUUCACUAAAUUCUUAAGAGGUUACAGACUCUAUUUCUAUCCUUAAAUACACUCAUUAUUUUAUCCCUGGAUAUACCCAAUUAUAGUUUAAACUUAAAUUGAAUAAAAGAUGAUGGGAA